UUGUCUUAAUAAAUAGAGAAAACUUCGGUUUCCACUGAAUAAAUAUAAGCAUUAUAUAUCAUAUUAUAUACAUAAAGUUUUCAAAUUAAGAAGAGAAAUGGAGAAGAAAUUGAGUGUGGUGGUGAUGAUGAUGAUGAUCGUUUUGGCUGUAAUUGGAACAGAAGCAGUAGAUCAUUUGUGUGUAUUCAAAUGUGAAAUCACAUGCCGCGAUCCAGAGUUCACGUCAAAAUGUUUUAAAGAGUGCAUGGCCAAAUGCGAGCAUCCUUCAUCUACAAAUACCUUUCACUCGACUUCACACUCGCAGAUGAAGAUUAAAGGGAUGGAAGAUAUGCGAGUGUAGAGAUAUUUCAAAAAUUAUAAUUAUGGAUACUUUUCAGAACCGUUUUCAAAAUAAUUUCAGAUCCUUUUCUAAACAAAUUUGCUUUGGCAUAAAAGUCUUAACAUCAACAUCAGCCUAAUUUUUAAUUC